rnacentral:lncRNA from 1 species
CUGGUCUUGGUAUACUGUCCUGUAGCAGUAUAUUUUGGCUACCUGUACUGGCAUUGGCUUUUCCAAGUGUCAAGAUUACAGGAAAAGAAGUUUUAUUAUUGAUGCAAGCCCUAAACACUCUUUCGACUCCAGAGGAGAAGCUGGCAGCUCUCUGUAAGAAAUAUGCUGAUCUUGGAAAUUCACCUCUUCUAUAGAAGAGUUUGUUUUGAACUAUACGAUUUGAAACAAAAUUCUUUUUUUGGAGACUAUGGAAACAUUCUCAACAGGGAAACCCUACUAGACUUUGUAAAGCAAAUAAUGGAAAAGAUACAGAACUUUUUGAAGAAUCAUGGGAAAUUUUUAUAAUUAAAUAAAUGCUAAAAUUCUGUUUUGUGAAACAUUUAUGGGAAUUAUCACUGACAGUUUUUGUACACUUUCAAAUAGUGUUAAAGCAGCAACUCCAUGUUGUAAAUGCACAAAACAAAUAUUUAGUUAAUAAUCAACUCCAAGAAUAAAGCUGUAACAAUAAUA